rnacentral:rRNA from 1 species
CAUGCAGGCGGUCGGGCGCGUUUGCUGUGACAGCGCAUGGCUUAACUAUGCGAGCAUAGGAAAGACGGCCUGACUUGAGGGCUCGAGAGGGACACGGAAUUCCGGGUGGAGUGGUGAAAUGCGUAGAGAUCCGGAGGAACACCGAAGGCGAAGGCAGUGUCCUGGCGAGUAUUCCUGACGCUGAGGUGCGAAAGCCAGGGGAGCGAACG